rnacentral:rRNA from 1 species
AACGAACGCUGGCGGCAUGCCUAACACAUGCAAGUCGAACGAGACCUUCGGGUCUAGUGGCGCACGUGUGCGUAACGCGUGGGAACCUGCCCUUAGGUUCGGAAUAACUCCCCGAAAGGGGUGCUAAUACCGGAUAAUUUCUUCGGUCCAAAGAUUUAUCGCCUUUGGAUGGGCCCGCUUUCGAUUAGCUCGUUGGUAGGGGAAAAGCCUACCAAGGCGAGGAUCCAUAGCUGGUCUGAGAGGAUGAUCAGCAACACUGGGACUGAGACACGACCCAGACUCGUACGGGAGGAAGCAGGAGGGAAUAUUGGAGAAUGGGAGAAAGACUGAGCCAGCAAUGCCGCGGGAGUGAUGAAGGCCUUAGGGUUGUAAAGCUUUUUUACCAGGGAUGAUAAUGACAGUACCGGGAGAAUAAGCUCCGGCUAACUCCGUG